rnacentral:sRNA from 1 species
UCAGUUACCCAUGACUAAAGUUGUAGGAUUGUGGGAGAAUAUAAUUCUCUUAUAAUCCUUAGCUGAAUAGCCUAAGUCUUAACUGACUACGUUAUUAUAGUUAUCAUACCUAUGGAUAUUAGUUCUAGUCCAUAGCUCUA